rnacentral:rRNA from 1 species
UACGUAGGGAGCGAGCGUUGUCCGGAAUGACUGGGUGUAAAGGGAGCGUAGACGGCUUAGCAAGUCUGAAGUGAAAGCCCGGGGCUCAACCCAUAAACUGCUUUCAAAACUGUUUUUCUUGAGUAGUGCAGAGGUAGGCGGAAUUCCCGGUGUAGCGGUGGAAUGCGUAGAUAUCGGGAGGAACACCAGUGGCGAAGGCGGCCUACUGGGCACCAACUGACGCUGAGGCUCGAAAGUGUGGGUAGCAAACAGG